GAUGCGAAUGGUGAUUUGCUGCGUCAUGCUGGUGUUCCUGACGACAGCCGGUGUUGAUGCCACAAUAGGAAUAGGCUGCCCGUGCCCGUACAAUUACCAACCGGUCUGCGGAAUAAACGGCCGAACAUACCCAAACUAUUGUACUCUCAGAUGCGCUGGGGUGCCGAAGUUGAAAUGGGGCAAAUGCUGGGGACAAAAAGGAUAUUGAUGGAAUGCAAGCAGCUGUUUAUAUGAAGUGAUCUGCAUAAACCAUAUUUUUAAAACCA